rnacentral:rRNA from 1 species
UCAAGUGAAUAAGCGCAUACGGUGGAUGCCUAGGCGAUAAGAGGCGAAGAAGGACGUUGUAGGAUGCGAUAAGCCGCGGAGAGUUUUCAAGCAAACUUUGACCCGCGGAUUUCCGAAUGGGGAAACCCAAUGACCAUAAGGUCAUUAUCAUACUCUGAAUACAUAGGAGUAUAGAAGCGAACCGGGAGAACUGAAACAUCUAAGUACCCCGAGGAAAAGAAAUCAAUUGAGAUUCCCUAAGUAGCGGCGAGCGAACGGGGACCAGCCGAACAGAAUAGAGUUAGUGGAAGCGUAUGGAAAGUCGCGCGAUACAGGGUGAUAGCCCCGUACACGAAAACUCUUUUUUGACAUAUUAAGUAGGUCGAUGCACGUGAAACGUUGACUGAAGAUGGGGGGGACCAUCCUCCAAGGCUAAAUACUCCUUAUCGACCGAUAGUGAACUAGUACCGUGAGGGAAAGGCGAAAAGAACCCCGGAGAGGGGAGUGAAAUAGAUCCUGAAACCGUAUGCGUACAAGCAGUAGGAGCCCCGCCCCUAAAUUACUUUAAAAAAGGAAGCUGA